CAGGCAACAGACACAGAAACAGUCCCUGCUCCAGAUGCUGCAGAACCUGCAUGAAGACCAACCUACCCAUCUGCUAGAUAUGUGCAGGGGAUUGAGGUCCAGCCUGGGCUAGCUCCUUGGCUGGUAAUAAAGUCUCUGGGAGCCUCCAAUGGGCCAGGUUUCAACUUUCCUCAUUUGUGAAAGGAGACAGUUAUGUGCUUACAGAGCUAUCAUGAGAAUUCAUUAAAGCUAUCUGCACACAGAGCUGGACAUUGAGGAAAGCAGACAACAGAGCCUUCUCUCUAUUUUGGUUUAUGCACUCAAAUUCUAGAAAUGAAUGAACAUUGAUUACUACAAGGAGCAUAAAGGAAGAGAAAGACUCAAAAGCCAGUGACUCCAAUGGGGAAAGACAAUACCCAAGAUGGCCUAAGCACUGAAAAAUAGAUGGACAAUAUAAAGGAAACCAAGAAUUCUACAUCAGCAAACUCCCAGCAGUUUCAGUACUGCAGCUAUGAAUGCAGGGGUGUGUCAAGCCAGAAGAGGAAAAGGCCUCUGGUUUCUUUAUGGACCAAACUAUAUAUCUAAAGUACAGCACUUAGCAGAAGCAGGCUGUAGCGGACAACGCCCUUUGCCACAGAGCUGCUUCAGAAUGAUGUCUCCAACAGGAUAUAAAAAAAAUUAUGAAAUGUAUAAUGAAGACAUUUAAAGUCCAGGAUGACAAAACACAUCAAUUUUAUCGACAUUCCAUGGGCUAGAAUUCGGUGCUAUGGCCACAUCAAACUGCAAAGGACAUGAAGACAAUGACGUCUAAGUAAUUACCAAUAGAGGGAGAGACAGAGAGUAAUGAGUAAGGACUCUGUCACUCCACUAUAGCACUUGUUCUGCGGAUACUGCAGCCACCGCCAUCACAUAUUCAUUCAUUGAGCAAAGUGAGUGAUUCCCAAACACUAGCACAAGCUAACUCUGCUAGAGUUUAUUCAAGAGUUGGCCUAUGAAGAUCAUUCAAAGAAGCCACCUACCAUCCCAAGCAACAUCCCUUUUGGAGAAGGCAGUAGUGGAGGUUACAAAGGGAGCCUAGAACUGUAGAGCACACGGUAUGUGAACGGGCUUUCCAUGGAGAAUUUCCUUAUGAGAAUCCUAGGAAGUAGAGCACCCUAUGUCACAUCUAUGAAUGGGAAAGCAAAUUGGUCCAUGUUUAAGAGCAAGCUUCCCCCUCCCCAUAAGGCAUGGAGAAGAAGAAGAAUGAGAUGAAUAUAAGCCAAAUCCUUCGAGACGUCAGUCAACAGCAGUUAAGAAAUGAAGGUGGAGGAGUUAUUGCUAAAAAUAAGAAAUAAGCCUCAGACGGAACAGAAGAAGCACAGAGAGCUUCUUCUCUCUGGUUCAAAGAGCUGUCUUCACUCCUGCUGAUGGGGAAAUGACUAGAUGCACUGGAGACUAGACUACUAGCAGCAGUAUGAAUUAGCCAGGAGUACAUUAGUUGCCCAUAUUUUUGCAAGUAUAGAAAUGAAACAUCACAGAGAAUGGUGUCCCAUUGUUAUCCAAGUUGGAACCCAGAACUGACUAUCUGCUUUCUUAGCUAGAGACCACAGAGACUGACUCUUCUCCGGGGGGUCUGCCCUUCCAUCUCACUCUCUUCCCUUCAGUUGCCUUUGACCCUGCAUGGCAAAAGCAAUGGGAUGGCACAUCCAUGAUUAUCACAUGGAGACAGCUUUGUUAUGUAGAAGUUUUCCCUUUUCUCUUUCUAGCCUUGAAGAAACAGAGAGUCAUGCUUGCAGGGGAGUCUUCAUAGAAGUCUUCAUGAAGAACCUGCUGGUGGCAAUGGGAGAUGACAAAAGACAACAAGAAACUGUUGCCCUAAGCACAAUAUCAUUGAAGAAAGGAAUUCUGCCAAUAAUGUGUGUAGUAACAUCCUGUAUACAGAAUCUUCCAGUCAACCCUUCAGCUGAAAACAUAGCUUAUCUUAUAUCUUCAUUAUAGUCUGGUAGAUCCUUCAACUAAAAAUAAAACUAAACUGAGAAUAGAGUCCUAGACCACAAGUAUGCAGGCGCAUGCUCAUGUGCGCGUGCACACACACACACACACACACACAUGCUCACAUGCACACAUGCUCACAAACGCACACACAUGCUCACACACACACAUGCUCAUACACACACAUAUAUAAUACAUUAUGAUAUAUUAGCUAUAUAUAUAAUAGCUAUAUAUAUAAUUUUUAUACAGAGGUAGAAAAAAUUCAGUGAUUCUUUUUGAUUAUCUGAUAAGUUCAUGACAUUAAUAAUCUCAAUCCUUAAAUAUAAUUAAAUUUUGUUUUUAAAAUCUUAUGUGUAGGAGUAUUUCAUCUUCACAUAUGACUGUACACCACUUCUGUGCAGUACCCACAGAGAUCACAAUAAGGUACCAGAGUCUCUAGAACUGGAAUUACAGACAGUUAUUAGUCACUACGUAGUUAAUGGGAAUUGCACCCAGGUCCUCUAGAAGAGCAGCCAGUGUUCUUAAUCACUGACUCAUUUCCACAGCUCCUUGAUUCCGAUAUCAAAAUGUAACUGUUAAAGAUGAAUGUUCAAAAGGGCAGCAGGCACAUCAACUGGGCUCUGUAAUCCUUCAGAGAAAAUUCUUCCUCGAUCUGAGAUACUGAUCAUCCUUCCACUCUGGUGCUAUGCUCUUCUUACCAGACUUAGUGCAUAAGCACUCAGCCUUACUAUCUGUGCAGUUAUUGAAAUUUCACCCAAUGUUAAUUUCAUGCCUGGUUGGGUUUUAAAUGUAUAAACAGCAUUCCAAACUUCACCCAGAUGGGUCAUGACAAAAAGAUGGUAAAAGGAACCAAAGUAAGCACAGCAUUCCUCCUCAAACUCCCGAGGGGCAAAGCACUGUGGACCCGUGAGGUUGCCAAUCCCAUGUACUCUGGGCACUGAGCUGGAGAACACUUGGCUCCCAUCUGCUCUCCUACACCAGAGAAAUACCAGGUCCCUGGACAGUAAAAAGGUGCUCCGAACGGGCUCAGAGUAGGACUUUGAACUGCUGGACUCGUCACCCAUCCAGAACAACUGACAGAUGGAGCCAGGUUUGCUGCCAGGUGGGAGGCUGAGCAUGAUUUCAGCUGCCCGCCCAUCAUUUCAUCCUUCUGCUGUGCUGAGAUGUCCCAGCAGAAACCCCAGCAGCAGCAGGCAUUCAAAAGGACCAAAAACAGCUUAGCAGAACUCUACAUCAGACACACAAUAUAGCCAGCCUCUGAGAAUGCAAGCCCCUUUGCUGUUAAGAAGAAAAUAAAAGACUCAUACUUCUCUACAGUGGACUGUGGAGGGGCUGGGUAUGUGUUGGCUUUAUCCUAUAGGUGUGAUUAACUACAAAUGGACAACAACCCAUGGACUCCUCAUCUUAGCUAGAAAUAAAAAGAUCUUUUAACGU